GCUUUUCUCUCUUGGUUUCUGGGAAAUUUCUCUCCCGAUUUCUUUCUUCUGCUGUUGAUUCUCUGAGAAUUCAAGCCCUAGAAAAUUUUCUUCUUGAUUUUGUCCAGGUUGCUUUGUAUGAUUGAUUUUUUCGUUGAUGCUCGACUCUCUCAAAACUCUGGCACUCGAAGUUGAUCAUGCAGACUCCGUAGUGCAGCUGAAACUGUGUAAUAUAGAAGUCAUGGUGCAUAGUUGUAGAUGCACUUCAAGGCCUCUCAUUAUUUACGGUGGAUUAACGGAGGUCAGUUUCGCCAAUAACAGAGGCCUCUCAUAAGCUGUAAUCAAAUCUUAGAGACAGAGAUGAUUUUCUAUUCGAUUUCGCCAAUAGCAGGAUGUCCUGUUUGUUGAUUUGACAGGUAUAAUAUCCCUUGCUAGGAUUUAGAAGAAACUUUUUGAUUUUUAUAUUUAUAUCUUCCAAUCAAUUGUACGGUUUACAAUAAUGGUCGUGUCUGUGAUGGGUGAAAGAAGAAAAUGGUCGUGUCUGUGAUGGUUGUGGUUAUCGAGUUUGUGAUGAUGAUGACUAUUUCUUGAGGUUUUUUUUUCCUAUGUUCCUUACUGUAUUCUCACCAUGGAUUUUGGAAGAAUCAAGGUACGUAUGUGCACACUAACUAAAUCAAUAAUUACAUGCAUAUGAUAUAUGAUAUCCAAUAGUAUCAUUAGAAUCUUUUUUUUUCAUCUCUCUUUAAACUGUGAUAACAUGUUUCAGUUAUAUUAUCCUUCCAGAUGAGACGUUGGUAUGAUUAAGGCAGAUAUAAAGAGUGUGUAGUGCAUCAAUUUGUCAAAAACGUGCAGCAGCUGAGAAGAAGCGAUGGGAUUGUUGGAAGCAGAGAAGAGACUAAAACAAGCUAGGUUAAUGCAAGUGAAACGUGUUGCUAAAUUUGUUUAUCACCAACGUGAAAUGGAGAGGAAAAGAGUCAAGGACCAGUUGGAAGAUCGACUAUAAAGGAGAGGAAGUCUUCAUACUUCUGUUCGUGUUAACCGGUAUGAGAUGCACAAGCAGAGAGAUUUCCUUUCAAGAAGACUGGCAAGGCCUCUCAAGCUUGACAUCUUUGAAUUUUAGAAGAAGCAAUGCCAUCACAGCUCAAGGAUGAGCGUUUUCCGAAUUUAGUGAAUCAGAUACAGAAGACAUCUGUUGUGGCUGAGGUAAUGCUUCCACUCUUCCAUUAUAGAAUCCUAAACUCAGUUUAAUAAGGAAAUUUUUAUACACAAAACCAUGGAUUCCUAAUCCGUGUAGUCUAUAUAUGGAAAUAGUUAACCAUCUCCGGUCUAUAUAUAAGAACAUAGAUUGAUGAACCAUGGAUUCCUAAUCAGUGUAGUCUAUAUACGGAAACAGUUAACCAUCUCCAGUCUAUAUAUAAGAACAUAGAUUGAUGUUUCAUUGAAGAAGGAGAAGCACGUUAUAAUGUGCAAUAACGCCAUGGAAACUGUUCAUCGACAAUAAAUAAGCAUUUGCCUCAUACUUCUUAGCUUCAAAUAACCACGCAUUUUCAUUGAGAGAAAAAAAAAAGGAGGAGAAGAAGAAGCGUAUAAAGGCUUAUAUGGUUAAGCGACUUGGGGUUCAUAUGGAUUAUAGUCUUAAAGGCACGGGGCGAGACGAAGCCGAGCCACGCCAAAUAAGAAAUGCAUCCCGACGGGAUAAGGAGACGUCGCGUAACACCAAUUAACAAAUGCAUCCGGACAGGGCGAGGCGAACCCAAACCACACCAAUUACAAAAAAAAGUGAUGGUGGAUGGUUUUCCGGGACACCCGUUGCAUAGCAGGGGCAUAAAAUCUAGAUAUUAUAACGAUAUUAUCAUAUGAUUUAACAUUCCAAAAACCCUUAAAAUUCAUUUAACGUAGAAGGUCAGAACAUAUUGAUGUUGACCUUUUGGUGAAAGAGUUUUAAGGCUGGAUGAUGAGAAUGUGUUGUUCAAAUGCGGACUAGUUACUAAACGGCUAGAUUGAUUACACUUCCUUGGGUUUGGAUCAUCAACUGGCCGAUCAUGCCAUAGUAUUGAACAGCUAAUUCAAUGGCCCCGUUAUCUAUAAUCAAGAACCAUGUUUCAGGGCAUAUGGAAAUUUUGUAGGGCAUGUCAAACAAGGACAAAAACGGGUCAUUAAAAGGUAAUUUUGAAAGCCCCAUAUCCACAUAUUUUUGAUAAUGACAUAAUUAUCCUUAUGCUAUUAGCGGUUAAAUACUAAUUAUUAGUUGUUAAUAAUCUUGAUUAAUGUUAAUAAUUAGUGAUUAAUGUAUAUCAAUUUAGGGAUAUUUUGAUUUUAUAUCCCAACUUCAUGAUCAGUGUUACGUUUGGGUCCCAUAAAAUUCAAUAUUAGAGUUUAGGUCCCGGGACCGUAGUUGACCGUUAAUAAUUUUAUUUAAUUCAUAUUUGGUUAACAACCCCAUAUACCGUUAGCAUGUGACCAACACACUCAAAUUAAACUGAUAAAAUCAACUGUCAGGAUGUGUGUGAGAUGAUUGGUGAUGCAGAGUCGUUGGGAACUAUUCAAAAACACUUGUUGUGCGUCUUGUUGAUUUUGUUAAUGGAGAUAUAACUGCUGAUUUUGUUAACCUUUGUACACAUCUCCUUCUUUCCAAUUUCGAGUUAGAUUAAAACCCAUAAUUCUACUUACACUCAAACUCUAAAAUUUCCCCCUAUCGGCCAUUAAUCAUUAUAACCCGUUGCUAACAGCUCCUCUCCAACUAGUUUUUGGGUUCAGGGAAACCUUCAAUUAUUAUCAAAUCCAAC